rnacentral:rRNA from 1 species
CCAGAUUCCACGAAAUGGCUUGAGGCCAUGAAAUCUGAGAUGGGAUCCAUGUAUGAGAACAAAGUGUGGACUUUGGUGGACUUGCCCGAUGAUCGGCAAGCCAUAGAAAAUAAAUGGAUCUUCAAGAGUAAGACGGACGCUGAUGGUAGUGUUACUAUCUACAAAGCUCGACUUGUCGCAAAAGGUUUUCGACAAAUUCAAGGUGUUGAAUACAAUGAGAUUUUCUCAACUGUAGCGAUGCUUAAGUCUGUCCGAAUCAUGUUAGCAAUUGCCGCAUUUUAUGAUUAUGAAAUUUGCCAGAUGGAUGUCAAAACUACAGUCCUAAAUGGAUUUCUGGAAGAAGAGUUGUAUAUGAUGCAACCGGAAGGUUUUGUCGAUCCAAAGGGUGCUAACAAAGUGUGCAAGCUCCAC